GACGAACGCUGGCGGCGUGCUUAACGCAUGCAAGUCGAACGGUAAGGCCCUUCGGGGUACACGAGUGGCGAACGGGUGAGUAACACGUGGGUGAUCUGCCCUGCACUUCGGGAUAAGCCUGGGAAACUGGGUCUAAUACCGGAUAGGACCACUGCCUGCAUGGGUGGUGGUGGAAAGCUUUUGCGGUGUGGGAUGGGCCCGCGGCCUAUCAGCUUGUUGGUGGGGUGAUGGCCUACCAAAGCGACGACGGGUAGCCGGCCUGGGAGGGUGACCGGCCACACUGGGACUGAGAUACGGCCCAGACUCCUACGGGAGGCAGCAGUGGGGAAUAUUGCACAAUGGGCGCAAGCCUGAUGCAGCGACGCCGCGUGAGGGAUGACGGCCUUCGGGUUGUAAACCUCUUUCAGCACCGACGAAGCGCAAGUGACGGUAGGUGCAGAAGAAGGACCGGCCAACUACGUGCCAGCAGCCGCCGUAA
rnacentral:rRNA from 1 species